rnacentral:rRNA from 1 species
UAGGGAAUUUUCGGCAAUGGACGAAAGUCUGACCGAGCAACGCCGCGUGAGUGAAGAAGGUUUUCGGAUCGUAAAACUCUGUUGUUAGAGAAGAACAAGGACGUUAGUAACUGAACGUCCCCUGACGGUAUCUAACCAGAAAGCCACGGCUAACUACGUGCCAGCAGCCGCGGUAAUACGUAGGUGGCAAGCGUUGUCCGGAUUUAUUGGGCGUAAAGCGAGCGCAGGCGGUUUCUUAAGUCUGAUGUGAAAGCCCCCGGCUCAACCGGGGAGGGUCAUUGGAAACUGGGAGACUUGAGUGCAGAAGAGGGGAGUGGAAUUCCAUGUGUAGCGGUGAAAUGCGUAGAUAUAUGGAGGAACACCAGUGGCGAAGGCGGCUCUCUGGUCUGUAACUGACGCUGAGGCUCGAAAGCGUGGGGAGCAAACAGG